UCCUCCAUAGCUCAGUCAGGUUAGAGCGUCCAACCGGCACCUGGAAGGACGUGGGUUCGAUUCCCGUUGGGGAGCUCAGAA